rnacentral:misc_RNA from 1 species
GCGGAGGAAAAGAAACCAACAGGGAUUGCCUCAGUAACGGCGAGUGAAGCGGCAACAGCUCAAAUUUGAAAUCUGGCUCCUUUCGGGGUCCGAGUUGUAAUUUGCAGAGGAUGCCUCGGGUGCGGGUUCCUUCCGAGUUCCCUGGAACGGGACGCCAUAGAGGGUGAGAGCCCCGUCUGGUCGGAAACCCAGCCCGUGUGAGGCUCCCUCGACGAGUCGAGUAGUUUGGGAAUGCUGCUCUAAGGGGAGGUAUACUCCUUCCAAGGCUAAAUACCGGCUAGAGACCGAUAGCGCACAAGUAGAGUGAUCGAAAGAUGAAAAGCACUUUGAAAAGAGAGUCAAACAGCACGUGAAAUUGUUGAAAGGGAAGCGCUUACUACCAGACUUGGGUUCGGCGGUUCAACCGGCGCCACGCGCCGGGGCACUCCGCCGGCCCAGGCCAGCAUCAGCUCUCCGUCGGGGGCAAAGGCGUCGGGAAUGUAGCUCCCUCUCGGGGGAGUGUUAUAGCCCGGCGUGUCAUACCCUUCGGGGGGCUGAGGACCGCGCUUCGCAAGGAUGCUGGCGUAAUGGUAGUCAGUGACCCGUCUUGAAACACGGACCAAGGAGUCAACCUUAUGUGCGAGUGCCCGGGCGUAAAACCCCAGCGCGUAAUGAAAGUGAACGUAGGUGAGAGCUUCGGCGCAUCACCGACCGAUCCUGAUGUCCUCGGACGGAUUUGAGUGAGAGCAUAUAGGGUUGGACCCGAAAGAAGAUGAACUAUGCGUGUGUAGGGUGAAGCCAGAGGAAACUCUGGUGGAGGCUCGCAGCGGUUCUGACGUGCAAAUCGA